AGAGAAAUAAAAGAAGAGAACAGGGCAGCUUGCAUGAGGCAGCUGAGCCAAACUCCUAUGCCUCCUUUGUUCUUGUGAGAGUUGUGUGAGGCAGCUUAGAGGAAGAAGAAGGGAGGAGCCUAAAAUCUCAGGGAGAAGCAAAAAAUCCUGUGAGAGAAAGGUAUGGAGAGCGCCCAUAAGAAGGCAGUCGGCAUGGUGACGCUACUGGUGGUUCUGCAGCUGCUCGUGGCGGCAGCUCCGCCGGCCAUGGCUCGCUCACCACCAGAGGAGAUGGGAAUGGCAGCGGCGCGGUCAAAAAAGAUAGCAAUUGAGCGCCUCGUCCUGAAAGCACCGCGGGGAGACGCCAGAUGCGCUGACGAAACAUGCUAUACUGGUUUUUGCUUCGUCGUCGCUGGUUGCAGCUGCCAGUAUCCCUACUGUUCGAAGCCUCGCGUUCCAACGCCAGUUCAUGCUUGAAAAGCUUCACCUUCCAUUUGUCGACGGACCUUAAAACAUUGGGUUUUGCUUUCUCUCUAAAAAAAGAGCUAAUAUGCGUACGUUUGUGAUUUAAGUGUGAACUAUGCAUGCAUGCAUACAUGGCUCAUGUCUGUUCGGGGACGUGGAUAAGGGCGGCGUUGUAAUACAUGGCUCAUGUCUCUUGAAUAAAUGAUAUAUGUGUGGGAUCGUGUAUCACGAGUUCACUACCAUGCAUGUGUGUGGCAUGGUAGUUUAGUAGCAUGCAGAAAUAUUUAUGGAAGAGUUUAAAUGGUGCUUGAUGCCUACUGGGGAGGACAGGACAACUGGAGUGGGGGUGACAACUUGGGAUGUUGCUGAAGAUAUAUAGACGCCCACACUUGGACAAGCGCGACAACUUCAGCUCUGGAGUUCAUCAGAUCGCCGAUUGCUCUGGUGUCGCAGCAGAUGACUUGAAACAUCCACCGCCAUCAUACCCAAUGUUACCCGAUCUGGUCAUGAUCCGUCCUGACUCCUGAGACGCUGGAUAUGUAAUAAAGCACCUUCUUUGUUUUAGGCCAUGUUUUAUGAAACGAAAAUAUUAACGCUCA